rnacentral:lncRNA from 1 species
AUUAUCAAGUGCUUAUUCCAACCCACAUGGUUUCUAAGGGAGUCACAUGAAGUGACCUCACAUCAUUCUCACAGCAUCCUGCCAGGCAGAUAUUGAUGUAAUGCCUACCGUGUUCCAGACACGCUGCGAGGCCCUGGGGAUGCAGCCACAAUCCCAACAGAUCUGAUGCCUGCUCUCAUGGAACUGACUUUGCACUGGGGGGAGGCCAACUCCACGAAAACAGAAACUGGAUGACACAUUGGAGGGAGAGCAGUAAAAGGAGCAAGCAGAGAGCAAGAACAACAGUGUUGCCAUGGGGCGGGUGGGCCCGCUGUAGCCAGGGAGGGCCUCUCCGAAGGUAUAACAGUGCCUUGCUGAAUUCACUCCCACGACCCCUCCAUGCUUGGGUCAGGAUGCAUGAACCUGAAAGCACAUGAAGUCCUCUCUGGGAUCUUCUGCCUUUGGUCCUAACUGUUCUCAGGGGGAAGCGACUCUGAAGGCCAAGAGGUAAGUUUCCUAAGCAACCGGGCCUGCUGGUCUUGA